rnacentral:rRNA from 1 species
UGCCAGACUCCUACGGGAGGCAGCAGUGGGGGAUAUUGCACAAUGGGGGGAACCCUGAUGCAGCGACGCCGCGUGGGUGAAGAAGCGCCUCGGCGCGUAAAGCCCUGUCAGCAGGGAAGAAAAUGACGGUACCUGAAGAAGAAGCCCCGGCUAACUACGUGCCAGCAGCCGCGGUAAUACGUAGGGGGCAAGCGUUAUCCGGAUUUACUGGGUGUAAAGGGGGCGCAGACGGCGAUGCAAGCCAGGAGUGAAAGCCCGGGGCCCAACCCCGGGACUGCUCUGGAAACUGUGCAGCUAGAGUGCAGGAGAGGCAGGCGGAAUUCCUAGUGUAGCGGUGAAAUGCGUAGAUAUUAGGAGGAACACCGGUGGCGAAGGCGGCCUGCUGGACUGUAACUGACGUUGAGGCUCGAAAGCGUGGGGAGCAAACAGGAUUAGAUACCCGCGUACA